rnacentral:rRNA from 1 species
GACGAACGCUGGCGGCGUGCUUAACACAUGCAAGUCGAACGGAAAGGCCCCCUUGUGGGGUACUCGAGUGGCGAACGGGAGGGUAAAACGUGAGUAACCUACCCUUGCCUUUGGGAUAACUUCAGGAAACUGGGGCUAAUACCGGAUAGGAGCUCCUGCUGCAUGGUGGGGGUUGGAAAGUUUCGGCGGUUGGGGAUGGACUCGCGGCUUAUCAGCUUGUUGGUGGGGUAGUGGCUCACCAAGGCUUUGACGGGUAGCCGGCCUGAGAGGGUGACCGGCCACAUUGGGACUGAGAUACGGCGCAGACUCCUACGGGAGGCAGCAGUGGGGAAUAUUGCACAAUGGGCGGAAGCCUGAUGCAGCAACGCCGCGUGCGUGAUGACGGCCUUCGGGUUGUAAACCGCUUUCGCCUGUGGCGAAGCGUGAGUGACGGUAAUGGGUAAAGAAGCACCGGCUAACUACGUG